AUCGCUUCUCGGCCUUUUGGCUGAGAUCAAGUGAAGUAAGUAUUUUCAAUGAAGUCAAUGAAUGUUAUAUCUGAUUUAUAUACAAAUGGAUGAACAUAAUUUUUGUAGAGAAAAAAUCUU
rnacentral:snRNA from 1 species